CAGACUCCUACGGGAGGCAGCAGUGGGGAAUAUUGCACAAUGGGCGGAAGCCUGAUGCAGCGACGCCGCGUGAGGGAUGAAGGCCUUCGGGUUGUAAACCUCUUUCAGCAGGGACGAAGCGUGAGUGACGGUACCUGCAGAAGAAGCACCGGCUAACUACGUGCCAGCAGCCGCGGUAAUACGUAGGGUGCGAGCGUUGUCCGGAAUUACUGGGCGUAAAGAGUUCGUAGGCGGUUUGUCGCGUCGUUUGUGAAAACCCGGGGCUCAACUUCGGGCUUGCAGGCGAUACGGGCAGACUUGAGUGUUUCAGGGGAGACUGGAAUUCCUGGUGUAGCGGUGAAAUGCGCAGAUAUCAGGAGGAACACCGGUGGCGAAGGCGGGUCUCUGGGAAACAACUGACGCUGAGGAACGAAAGCGUGGGUAGCAAACAGGAUUAGAUACCCUGGUAGUCCACGCCGA
rnacentral:rRNA from 1 species